AAAAAUACGGUACACCUUUCCUACCUAAAAGAGGACAGCUUGUUUUACAUCGAGUCUUCUUAAUGCCCAGCAAUGUGUCACAGGAACAAACAUUUAACAGAAUCUGUGAGAACUUCCAGAAAUCUAUUUAAUUACAGGCUUGCUCAAGAAUUUGAUCGUUGAGUAAAUUAAGGGUGUGUGAGAGAAGAAUGAAAUUUUUAAUUUACUUGUGCUGAUAGUCUCUUUGAAUAUAGUGUAUAAAUAGGUAAGCAAAAUGUGUGGAUUUUUAUUAGUAACUAAUGAGGUCUGUUAGAAUGAGCAGUGUGACCCCAAGUCUAGCCGAUUAAUGUCUAUUAUGUGCACAUGUCAGCAACUGAAAUUCUAUUUUGGGGUUUUACAGGUAAAUAGAAGAGGGCUCUGCACUGAGUAACUUAGGUUACAAUGCGGCCAUGAGGAAGGAUGGUGGUGGAGAGAAAGCUGCUUUACAGAUUUUCAGCUGAGGAAGCAGAGAGAGUCACACUGAUGCUGUGCGUGCACCACUCAGCAUGAGGCUGGUGACCUGAAGAAGCUGGCACCUUUCACUAUGGAGCUGUUCACAUGCCUGGCCCAGGACGAGAAGACGAAGGAGGCGGUCUGGCGGGAGCUGAAGGAACUGCAUGCCCUGCUGCUGCCCCAGGCCAGCAAGAUGACCCAGCGGAUCAGAAGUGUGUGUGACCAGUGCUGAACUUUGAAGCCUAAUGGCAGCUGUUUAACUUGGGAUUUCCAAAUCUCAUGCAAAUUUCUCUUGUGCACAAUCCUAGCUCAGAAUCCUGUGGGGAAAGGACUUUUGGGAGCACAGUUCCAGCUUAGCUAAAUUGACAUGAAGUAAAGCCACCACAUGUCGUGCCUGUAGGAUUUGGUUGGCACCAGCACAGAAAAGUGGAUUCCAGCGAACCUGGCAAGCAUUCACUGUUGCCUGGAAAGUUUAGAGAUGGGCUGGGGUGAGAGGGAGCAAAGACAAAACAUUUUGCAGAUGGAUAAAAAAUUUUGUAGAAGUGAAAAGAAUAUCUGCACUGAAGACAAAAGUCCAUCAAAGGGAUUACUGAACCAAAUAUUCCCAGGUCCUUUUUGAGAACU